UACGAGGGGGGCGAGCGUUGUUCGGAAUUAUUGGGCGUAAAGGGUGCGUAGGCGGUUUGGUAAGUCUUAUGUGAAAUCUACAGGCUCAACUUGUAGUCUGUAUGAGAAACUGCCGGGCUUGAGUAUGGGAGAGGUGAGUGGAAUUCCUGGUGUAGCGGUGAAAUGCGUAGAUAUCGGGAAGAACACCAAAGGCGAAAGCGCUCUGCUGGGCCGAAACUGACACUGAGAGACGAAAGCUAGGGGAGCGAAUGGG
rnacentral:rRNA from 1 species